UACGAAGCAGUUACUUUCUUUUCAUGUAAUGUGAGGCGUUGUCUCCUCCAGUUAUCCACCUAAUGUCAAAAACGUGUGUUGAGUUUUCACUGAAGCAACACACAUUCCAUCAGAUAGUGUUUGCCGUUGCAUACUGGAAGGAUUUUGGGUGCAGAGUAGCAACAUUUUUUUGUAAAGUGUUUAAGCUUUAAUGUUCUUCCGUGUGACAGGAAGCUCUCGAGGUUCACGUCAGGGACAAGCCAGCCAAAAGCACAUCAUCAGCAUCUCCAGUUUCCCUAACGUCGCCGAUGCAGUUGAAGCAAACGGUGGAGGUGAUUCCAGAGACUGAUGAGGAGAAGAUAACCCGCUUGGAGGCUAUCCUGCUGCAGGACAUCCACGUUCUCAAACACAGACACGUCAUCCAUCCUGUGCUGCAAGAGGUGGGUUUGAAGUUGAGCUCCCUAGAACCAACCAAGUCUAUCGACCUGCAGUAUCUGGGGGUCCAGCUGCCACUGCCUCCUCCAAACCUAACAGAAGAAGGCAAUGCCAUGUCUCCUGGUGGUAAGUUGGACUGAUCUUUUGCAGUUUGCAAAUGCUUUAUAUAGGGUACAUUUGUGUUCUUUUUCCUCAUGUAAAAUCAAUUACCUUUUUUAUUUAUUUUAUUGAACAGAUUUUAUGGAGGGAGGCUCUGGAAAAAUGGUAGUUGCUCCAUGUAAACAGACCCCCCUAUAAAACCUGCAAUGAACUUUAACAUCAGUUUAAUGUUUUACCAUAUUUUCAGAGAAGAGCAAAAAAGGCCUCAUGUCUGCAUUGUCUAACGAGCUAUGAUUGGAGACAAUGCUGUGGGCAAGCUGCCCUCUGCAUAUCCAUAGAUACAUGAGGGCAAAGUGAUAAGGGCCCUGUGUAAUUA
rnacentral:lncRNA from 15 species